AAGACUUUCUUUCAUUAUACUAUGCUUUUCUCUAUGUUCUCCCAUGUUGCUCAGGAGAAGUUCAUGAGUGGAGCUGUUUGUAAUGGGUAAUGGUGGUCUAUGUUUCAGCUUGGGCCUCGUGUGUAUUUCGUCUUUGAAGAGCAGAAUAUCUUAUAGGAGCUCCCAUGGGACCGAAGGUGCGUUUUCCUUCUUUGAGGAGAAGUGAUAUGGAAACC
rnacentral:lncRNA from 1 species